UGUGCUAUUCCAAGGAAUAUGGAC
rnacentral:siRNA from 1 species